UUUAACAUUUUGUAAAAACAGGUCAAACGGUGAGCUUCACGUGUGUCUUGGAGAGGGUUCCACCCCAGAGAAUUCAGAAGUUUGGUGACACUUGCUUCUCUCUCUCACAGGUGUUAAUAACAAAUCGAGCUUAGCUGGUCUCCGAGCCUGGGGAACGAUGUGACAUGUUUUGGGUUUAAUGUUCAGCCUCAGACUUGUGGCCUUGAACCUAUUUGUUAUUUCAAGUGGACUCAGGGAUCAGGAUAUGAUGGAGUAGGGAAAUAAAUAAUUAUACAAUCCUGACAAAAUAGGAGUUUAAUCCCACUUCCCAUAUUGUCUUUAACUUUUCAUCAGUUCAUUAGAUCCAUUUGUCCAGGUGAAGGGAGUGGAGGAUGUUUGAUGUUCCCAGAAACCACUUUAAGAGCGCCUCCUGAAACUGUAGCUGCGUGGUGUACAGCCGGCAUAGUAAUAGCAUAUGAAUAAUCCAUUCAUUCAUCUGAGUAAGCUGCGGUUAAUUUUCACUUGUCACUUACUUGUUAUUGUAUGAAUUUUUACAGUUUCAAAAACAAUGUAAAAAGCAUAAAAGAUUUCUGUGUGAGGGCCACAAAAACAUUGCAAAAGCCGAUUAGAUCACAGGCACUGACAUGUCAUUCUGCCCUCAUACUUAUGUGGGUGACGGGAAUCAAAUGUCUCCUACAUCAUUGUUUGCAUAAUGCGAAUUUCAGAAUGCAAAAAUUUGUAACGUACAGGUGAAAUGGAGUGUGACCGUGUUUGUACUUUGGUGCAAGUUGGAGCAAAACCCACUGUUUAUAUUGCAUGUUCACAAAGCCCUUUGUGCUCUGUAACCUAGGGGCAUUUCAUACAUCAAUAGGACUGCAGCAUGAUAAAUUGAGGCAUCGGAGUUCCUAUGCAAACUUCCAUAGGAAUGUUUGCCUCUUGAACACUGAUCGUCGGGAAUGAGAUACAAUGAUAAUAUCAUUAAGCUUCUGGAUUGCUAGUCCAACUUUACCAUUUCCAAGACACGUGCUUGCAGAAAUUAACUGACCACAUGAUGAACUAACAGAUAUCAUCUUUCACAUUCCUUUCAAGAUGUUCCAAGUACAUAACGGCUAAUGAACCUGUUUUGAAGUGUAAUCACUGUUAUAAUAAAGCCAGUUUGUACACAUCCAAGCUCCCGCAAUCUGCAAUUGAUACCAAGCAGAUCAUUUGUUUCUUUCAGUGGAGUAGCUUGGGAGUGAAAUAUUGUUCUCAAGCCUUGAUUCUGUGAACUGAGCCCCAGCUGACACUUUACACUAAACAACGCCCAACAUGAAGAAGGUUGAUGAAGGGGAAUUUGCGCUAUUGGUGAAUGGGACCUUUAAUUGCUUAUCCGCUCCCUGAUGUCACAGCAGAGUUAACCAGCUGUCACCUUCCCAUAGAAAUGCAGGCACAACAGAUGCACACAAUCGUAACUGGGCAAGCAUUGUGUCCUGGGGAGGUGCUGGACAUGUAUUCCCACCGUUACCUCCUUUGAGGAACUUGUUAUGAAGCAUGGUCGAGGAGUUGUGUAACGAUGAAUUCUUCGAGUGCUGAAAGUUGAUCCGAGGAGAAGAAACUUCACAGGCGACGUAAAUCCCAGGCCAGAUUCCUACGAUAUAGUCCACACAGCUGGUGGUUAGACAUCCCACUAAAUGAUCUAUAGCAAAAUGAAAUAGUUUUACAUCAACCGACUUGUAAGUAAGAGUGUUUUAUUAAAAUAGACAUCUUUAUUUUCAAUGUCUGACUGGGUCUCUAAAUCCUCCUGCAGGAUUAAAAAAUGCAUUAUGUAGCAUUUUUUUCAGUAACUCAAUGUAUUUUACAGCCAGUGAUGUACUUCUGAAGUUUAAACAUUGCUGUAAUAUUGGGAAAAUAGCAAUUAAUUUUAUACAGAGCAAGCUUUCUCAAUCAGUAAAGUGAUGCACCCAGAUCAUCCGAUUUUUAGUUAUAAUUACUGCGUACUAAAUACUCACUAUGACACACAGAACAUAAUUUUGCUGCUCUUCCUCAGAAUAGGGACAAAUAUUCUACAGGCCCCCUGAACAAAGCAAACAAUUCCCAAUUUAAACACUCAUCCAGAAACACCCGCCAUUAUACCUUCAGAAAUUCCACCUUCACAAAUUCCCCAACUAUUUCCUAGAUUUUUGUGCUCUGCUUUCUGGAGUUAGACUUAAACUUGGAAUUACAAACCAAUUAAAAAAAACGGAAAAAAGUGAGUCAAAACAAACAAAUCCUGGGCACGUUCCACAGAUGCUGCCUGACCUGCUGAGUUUUUAGUUUAGUUUAGUUUAGUUUAGAGAUACAGCGGGGGAAAAAGGCCCUUCUUUCCACCGAGGCCGGACUCACCAGCGAUCCCCACAAACUAACACUAGCAUACACACACGAGGGACAAUUUACGAUUUUACCAAGCCAAUUAACCUACAAACCUGUACAUCUUUGGAGUGUUGGAGGAAACUGGAGUUCCCGGAGAAAACCCACGCAGGUCACGGGGAGAACGUACAAACUGUGUACAGACAGCACCCAUAGUCAGGAUCGAACCUAAGUCUCUGGCGCUGUAAGGCAGCAACCAUACCACUGCAUCAUGGUGUCGACCGAGUAUUUUGAGCAUUUUCUGCUAUCGUUUCAACUUAAAAAUUUCAGGAUGUGGGUUUUCCCAAGUUCCCAAAUUAUUGCAAGUGGGAGAACGAUAUUUAAAUCGAAGCUCCAAACUAGUAAUUCUUGCCUAAUAAACAUAAAAUUGCUUUCAAAUGAAUCCAAAUGAAGCAAUGUUAAUACCACGGGAGAUACACCAUUCAUGGCUUGAUAACAUCCAAACAGUCAGAUAAAUUGAACUGAAUGUCUUUGAAUUACGAGGAUUAAGGACCCAGGACACAGCACGAGCUGUUGAUGAGGAACCUUUCAGUGUGAAAUAAAUUGGAUGUGGAUGGAGAUGAAAGCAAGAGAUUUCAUGGGCAGUUGAAAGACAUUUGAAGAAUCUUCAGAGGGUUAUACUGUUACUAAAAACUGAGAAACUGCAUGAGGAGCGAAAUGUUGUUCAAGGAGGGAUGGCUCAUGUGCAGUAUAAAUCUAAUGCCAAGUUUCUGAGGUGACAAUAAGUGUCAGGGAGAGGCUAUUAAAUAUGAAAUAGAUGGGCUUUCUUGCCGUUAGUCUUUACUGUGCUGAGGCUGAGAUGAUGACUAAAUAGCAUUUCUAGAUAUACAUUUUGUCUGUUUUAUAGAAUGUCGCAGCUUUAUGGGGCUUUAGUUAGGGCGCAUUUGGAGUAUUACUUGCAGUUCUGGUCACCCCAUUACAGGAUGGAUGAACUCAGCGGGUGCAGCAGCAUCUAUGGAGCGAAGGAAAUAGGCAAUGUUUCGGGCCAAAGCCCUUCUUCAGACUGUUACCUUCUUCAGACUGGUACCUUUUUGUGUACCUUCGAUUCUCCAGCAUCUGCAGUUCCUUCUUAAACACAGGAUGGAUGAGGUGGCUUUGCAGAAGGUGCAGAGGAGGUUUACCAGAAUGAUGCCUGGAUUAAGAAGAGUUUGGACAAGGCAUGGACCUUAUAAAAGUACAGCACAUAAAGUUAUGAGAAGCAUAUAGGUAGAUAGGGUGGACAGUCAGAACCCUUUCUCCCCCGGCUGGAAAUGUCAAGGAUAAGAGGGAAUAUUUUUAAAGUGAGGGGACAAUGUUUAAAGGAGAUAUGCAAGGCAAGUUUUUUUUUACAUCUGAGAAUGGGGGUUGCCUGUAAUGCAUUGCCAAGGGUGAUGGUGGAUGAGAAAAAUAUUUUGGAUAGGCAAUGGAUAUGCAGGGAUUGGAAGGAUAUGCAAAAUUAGAAUUUCACUGUACUUAGGUACGUGUGACAAGAAAGUACCAUUGAACCAUUGAUAUGGAUCACGUUCAGGCAGAGGAGAUUAUUUUAAGAGAAUGAAUAAUAUGCUAAUCCAGGUGAGCUAGAUCACUAAGAGUAAAAUGUGGCAAUGAAGGGAUUUAAAUGUAAUGUAAACAUGGAAACAAAAUAU